CACGUAGGGUGCGAGCGUUGUCCGGAAUUAUUGGGCGUAAAGAGCUCGUAGGCGGCUUGUUGCGUCGACUGUGAAAACCCGCGGCUUAACCGCGGGCUUGCAGUUGAUACGGGCAGGCUAGAGUUCGGUAGGGGAGACUGGAAUUCCUGGUGUAGCGGUGAAAUGCGCAGAUAUCAGGAGGAACACCGGUGGCGAAGGCGGGUCUCUGGGCAGUAACUGACGCUGAGGAGCGAAAGCGUGGGGAGCGAACAGG
rnacentral:rRNA from 1 species